GACGAACGCUGGCGGCGUGCUUAACACAUGCAAGUCGAACGGAAAGGCCCUGCUUUUGUGGGGUGCUCGAGUGGCGAACGGGUGAGUAACACGUGAGUAACCUGCCCUUGACUUUGGGAUAACUUCAGGAAACUGGGGCUAAUACCGGAUAGGAGCUCCUGCUGCAUGGUGGGGGUUGGAAAGUUUCGGCGGUUGGGGAUGGACUCGCGGCUUAUCAGCUUGUUGGUGGGGUAGUGGCUUACCAAGGCUUUGACGGGUAGCCGGCCUGAGAGGGUGACCGGCCACAUUAGGACUGAGAGACUGCCCAGACUCGUACGGGAGGGAGCAGUUGGGAAUAUUGCACAAUGGACGGAAGCCUGAUGCAGCAACGCCGCGUGCGGGAUGACGGCGUUCAGGUAGUAAACCGCUUUCGCCUGUGACGAAGCGUGAGUGACGGUAAUGGGUAAAGAAGCACCGGCUAACUACGUG
rnacentral:rRNA from 1 species